rnacentral:misc_RNA from 1 species
CCCGGCGGAGCCGAAACGGUUCGGAAAGCGGCAAAAUCGUUGCGAAAAGUGCGUGGAUUGGAGGUUUUGCCGGGAAGAAAACCAUGCUACCCGGCGGACAACACCUAUCCGAAACGCACCUAAUGGCUGUCCACCCGCGCCGCGUUGCGCGCGCACUCCUCUCCGUUUCCGACAAAUCAGGCCUGAUCGAAUUCGCCCGCGCGCUCGCCGGUCACGGCAUCGAGA